UACGAAGGGGGCUAGCGUUGUUCGGAUUUACUGGGCGUAAAGCGCACGUAGGCGGAUUGUUAAGUGAGGGGUGAAAUCCCGGGGCUCAACCCCGGAACUGCCUUUCAUACUGGCAAUCUUGAGUCCGAGAGAGGUGAGUGGAAUUCCGAGUGUAGAGGUGAAAUUCGUAGAUAUUCGGAGGAACACCAGUGGCGAAGGCGGCUCACUGGCUCGGUACUGACGCUGAGGUGCGAAAGCGUGGGGAGCAAACAGG
rnacentral:rRNA from 1 species